rnacentral:rRNA from 1 species
UACGUAGGGUCCGAGCGUUAAUCGGAAUUACUGGGCGUAAAGCGUGCGCAGGCGGUUCGCAAAGACAGGUGUGAAAUCCCCGGGCUUAACCUGGGAACUGCGCUUGUAACUAGCGGGCUAGAGUGCGGCAGAGGGGGGUGGAAGUUCCACGUGUAGCAGUGAAAUGCGUAGAUAUGUGGAGGAACACCGAUGGCGAAGGCAGCCCCUGGGU